UACAGAGGGCUCAAGCGUUGUUCGGAUUCAUUGGGCGUAAAGGGCGUGUAGGUGGCGCGCUAAGUCGGGUGUGAAAUUUCGGAGCUUAACUCCGAAACUGCAUUCGAUACUGGCGUGCUUGAGGACUGGAGAGGAGACUGGAAUUCAUGGUGUAGCAGUGAAAUGCGUAGAGAUCAUGAGGAAGACCAGUGGCGAAGGCGGGUCUCUGGACAGUUCCUGACACUGAGACACGAAGGCCAGGGGAGCAAACGGG
rnacentral:rRNA from 1 species